rnacentral:misc_RNA from 1 species
UCCUGGUUUCCCAGGCAGUCUCGUUAGAGUGCUUCCAAAAGGAAUAGCAACUAACGACAGGAGUUGCGCUCGUUAAAGGACUUAACCCAACAUCUCACGACACGAGCUGACGACAGCCAUGCAGCACCUGUGAAUUUGUCCUUAGUAAACUAAGGAAAGCCAUAUUUCUAUGGCGGUCAAAAACAUGUCAAGUCUAGGUAAGGUUCCUCGCGUAGUGUCGAAUUAAACCACAUGUUCCACCGCUUGUGCGGACCCCCGUCAAUUUCUUUAAGUUUUAAUCUUGCGACCGUACUCCCCAGGCGGAUCACUUAACGCGUUAGCUUCGACACUAACCCUGCAAAACAGGGCUAACGUCCAGUGAUCAUCGUUUACGGCGUGGACUAC